rnacentral:lncRNA from 1 species
GGAGCGGCUGCCUGCAGAGGCUGUUGCAGCUCCCGUGCGCUGGGCACCUUGGGCUGGGCCCCUUCUGCAGCCCCACUGCACUGCUGGCCUUGUGCUGGGCCCCGAGUCCUCCCGAAUUUUUGCCACAAAACCCUUGCAGUGCCUUGGCCAUUUGUGUAGCCACCCAUCCACUGCUGCCCUCCUGUGCGUGGCGCCGCUCAGUCCCACCAGCUCCCAGGGAGGCCUGCCUGUGUCUGGGAUCUGCACCCUAUCCUCAAGAUUUCCACCCCAUCCUCGGGAUCUUCACGUCAUCCUCAGGAGCUCCACCUCAUCCUCGAGAUCUGCACACCAUCCUUGGAAGCUCCCCCUCAUCCUCAAGAUCUUUACCCCAUCCUCAGGAGCUCCACCCUGGCCUCAGGAUCUCCCCCUCAUCCUUGGGAUUUUCACCCCGUCCUCAGGAGCUCCACCCUGGCCUCAGGAUCUCUCCCUCAUCCUUGGGAUUUUCACCCCGUCCUCAGGAGCUCCACCCUGGCCUCAGGAUCUCUACUCCAUCCUCAGGAUCUCCACCCCAUCCUUGGGAUCUUCACCCCAUCCUCGGGAUCUUCACCCCACCCUCAGGAGCUCUACCUCUUCCUUGGGAUCUGCGCCCCAUCCUCGGGAUCCCCACCCUAUCCUCGGGAUCUCCAAGCACAACACGUGUGGCUCCCAAGGCGCCCAGUGCAGGCAGUGCUGCUCUGGCCCACAUCCAGGUGUAGCCCCAAACCCAGCCCCAGCUCGAGCUAAGGCAAGAGCAGUUCCCGGCACCGGCCCUUCGUGACUACAAUCCAAGCCAGUAAUUACAGAGAUAGGGGCACAACGGGGACGUGGUGCGUAAUCCAAUUACAGUUAUUAUAUAUAUAUAUAUACAUUCAGAAGAGCCCGUCUCACAAACAGCAGUUUGUUACAAGACCGGGCCAGCCGGGAGAAAAGACUGAAAAGCAAAAUGCUGCUAAAGGGCAUUUCACUGGACGCACCAAGAGCCAGCGUGGGCCACCGCGGCCUCGGACACCCCCAGCCCCCCUCCCGGGUGAGGGCAGCGAGCCGGAGGGGUGCGAGCCCAGGCUGGUUCAAGGUGACGCUCGUGCCCUGCGAGCGGUGGCAGCCUGGCCAGCACACUCCCAUCACCGGAGCAGGGAAGGAGCAAUG